rnacentral:rRNA from 1 species
UUCCAGACUCCUACGGGAGGCAGCAGUGAGGAAUAUUGGUCAAUGGUCGGGAGACUGAACCAGCCAAGCCGCGUGAGGGAUGAAGGUACAGAGUAUCGUAAACCUCUUUUGUCAGGGAACAAAGGCGGGGACGUGUCCCCGGAUGAGUGUACCUGAAGAAAAAGCAUCGGCUAACUCCGUGCCAGCAGCCGCGGUAAUACGGAGGAUGCGAGCGUUAUCCGGAUUUAUUGGGUUUAAAGGGUGCGUAGGCGGACUGCCAAGUCAGCGGUAAAAUCGGGGGGCUCAACCUCGCUCCGCCGUUGAAACUGGCGUUCUUGAGUGGGCGAGAAGAAGACGGAAUGCGUGGUGUAGCGGUGAAAUGCAUAGAUAUCACGCAGAACCCCGAUUGCGAAGGCAGCCUUCCGGCGCCCUACUGACGCUGAGGCACGAAAGUGCGGGGAUCGAACAGGAUUAGAUACCCGCGUAA